AUGAUGAGAGAUUCUGAUGAGGUAGAUGAAGAGGAAGAGGAUGCUGCUCCAACUCCUAAGGCUCAAAAGCUAAUGGGAGAUGCAGUUAAGUCAGGGGUUGCUCCUAAGCCCAAACUUGCUCCCAAAGCUGCUGCUCCAGCCACAAAGACUGCACCCAAGAGGAGUACAAGGAAUAUACCUGCUGAGGAAAAGAACAAGGCCCCAGUGCCUAAAGUGGAAGAGGAAGAAGCUGAAGCCCAAGUGCUAAGGAAGCUCAAGCCAAAGAUUCUAGACCAUAAUGAUGCACAUCCUGUUGCAGAGGACAUGAAACUCAGAAAGGAUGCAGGUUCAAGACUUUGGAGAAAGAAUGACCCAUAUGCUGUAAGGAGGAGAACUGAUGUGGACUACAGGUUUCACACUAAAGAACAACAGGUUUUCUAUGAAACUGUUUUGCUUGACAAGAAGCCCAUAGUGUGUGGCAUGAGAUGGGUUGACUAG
rnacentral:rRNA from 1 species